rnacentral:rRNA from 1 species
GUGUGUGGCCAUCCCGACGUGUCAAAGCCUGAUCUCGACAGAAACAGAAACAAAGCUGGGCCUGGUUAGUACUUGGAUGGGAGACCGCUGGAAAUAUCAGGUGCCACAGUGG